rnacentral:sRNA from 1 species
GAGGCGUAGGGCCAACGUCCGGCAGCGCUGAGCGCCCCCGGGCGCGCUUUGC